GGCGAUGUGGCGAAAUUGGUAAACGCACGGCAUUCAAAAUGCCGCGUCGAAAGACUUCCCAGUUCGAGUCUGGGCAUCGCUACCA
rnacentral:tRNA from 1 species